GACGAACGCUGGCGGCGUGCCUAAUACAUGCAAGUAGAACGCACAGUUUAUACCGUAGCUUGCUACACCAUAGACUGUGAGUUGCGAACGGGUGAGUAACGCGUAGGUAACCUGCCUGGUAGCGGGGGAUAACUAUUGGAAACGAUAGCUAAUACCGCAUAAUAUUAAUUAUUGCAUGAUAAUUAAUUAAAAGGUGCAAUUGCACCACUACCAGAUGGACCUGCGUUGUAUUAGCUAGUAGGUGAGGUAACGGCUCACCUAGGCGACGAUACAUAGCCGACCUGAGAGGGUGAUCGGCCACACUGGGACUGAGACACGGCCCAGACUCCUACGGGAGGCAGCAGUAGGGAAUCUUCGGCAAUGGACGAAAGUCUGACCGAGCAACGCCGCGUGAGUGAAGAAGGUUUUCAGAUCGUAAAGCUCUGUUGUAAGAGAAGAACGGGUGUGAGAGUGGAAAGUUCACACUGUGACGGUAUCUUACCAGAAAGGGACGGCUAACUACGUG
rnacentral:rRNA from 1 species